rnacentral:rRNA from 1 species
CCUACGGGGGGCUGCAGUCGAGAAUCAUUCACAAUGGGGGAAACCCUGAUGGUGCGACGCCGCGUGGGGGAAUGAAGGUCUUCGGAUUGUAAACCCCUGUCAUGUGGGAGCAAAUUAAAAAGAUAGUACCACAAGAGGAAGAGACGGCUAACUCUGUGACAGCAGCCGCGGUAAUACAGAGGUCUCAAGCGUUGUUCGGAAUCACUGGGCGUAAGGCGUGCGUAGGCUGUUUCGUAAGUCGUGUGUGAAAGGCGCGGGCUCAACCCGCGGACGGCACAUGAUACUGCGAGACUAGAGUAAUGGAGGGGGAACCGGAAUUCUCGGUGUAGCAGUGAAAUGCGUAGAUAUCGAGAGGAACACUCGUGGCGAAGGCGGGUUCCUGGACAUUAACUGACGCUGAGGCACGAAGGCCAGGGGAGCGAAAGGGAUUAGAUACCCGUGUAGUC